UGGGGAAUCUUGGACAAUGGGGGCAACCCUGAUCCAGCCAUGCCGCGUGAGUGAUGAAGGCCUUAGGGUCGUAAAGCUCUUUCGCCUGUGAAGAUAAUGACGGUAGCAGGUAAAGAAACCCCGGCUAACUCCGUGCCAGCAGCCGCGGUAAUACGGAGGGGGUUAGCGUUGUUCGGAAUUACUGGGCGUAAAGCGCACGUAGGCGGACCAGAAAGUUGGGGGUGAAAUCCCGGGGGCUCAACCCCGGAACUGCCUCCAAAACUAUUGGUCUAGAGUUCGAGAGAGGUGAGUGGAAUUCCAAGUGUAGAGGUGAAAUUCGUAGAUAUUCGGUGGAACACCAGUGGCGAAGGCGACUCGCUGGUCCGGUACUGACGCUGAGGUGCGAAAGGCGUGGGGGAGCAAACAGGAUUAGAUACCCUGGUGUCCACACCGUAAAACGAUGAAUGCCAGUCGUCGGGGUAGCAUGCUA
rnacentral:rRNA from 1 species